GAUAAAAAUUCCGAGAUCAACCCUGGCAAAGUAAGAAAAUGAUUUCGUUGACAGUAAUCACGACCGAUUCUCUCGGAUUCCCUCUGUUCGUUUCCGACAGACAGUUAUUUAUUUAGAAGAAUAUUUGUAAGCCUCGACAUUCUUAAGAAUUUUCACUUUGAGCCUGUAUAUAUUCUAAAAUCAUAUUGCUAUUUUUCGAAUCUCCAUAACUUCAGGGGAACAUCGUUUGUCUCCAAAUAGCAACCACGCUUUUUGAAAAGAAAGUAAGAAAUCCAGACCCUCCCCCUUCCGUAGUGACGGCCCUGGUUCUCACAUAUUUUCCCUAAUCUUGCAUGAAAAUGGACAGCACUGCAUCUUUAACCCACUAAAAAUUGCGCUAAAACUGCAAAUUUUUACAGACAUCCUCUGAAAAAUUCCAACCUUCUUCUGUUCAAUAACUAUUGGUUUUAUUUUAAAUUAGCUGUUUUGACAUUAGAAAAUCGUUGAUUAGCCAUUGCAAAGUGAAGACGAGGUCAGUUCGAUAGGGCUUCUCGAUGCUCACGAGAAAUCGCCGCGGACUGGCCUACUUCCAUUUGAAAUUGUACAAAAAGAAUGUUGGUGGAUUAGAUCAAAGAAACGAAAGUUAAUACCAAAGUCCAAGCUGUCUCUUGCCUCCAGCCAGAGCCAAGAACUAAAAAAUCCUCUCAACAACCAAUGAAAAAAGGUU